rnacentral:tmRNA from 1 species
GGGGGCGUUACGGUUUCGACGGGGAGCGUUGCGAGGGACGCGGCGAGCCGAGAUCCCACCAGCUCGUUAAACGGUGGAAGCACGAUAAGUGCCGAUAACAACUACGCUUACGCAGCCUAGUUACUAGGCCGCCGUCCGACCCGGACUCUGCCUGAGAGGCCGGCUAGGGCGUCAUUAAAGUCAGGACGCUCGGCAGCCAAUUCUCGGAGGUUGUCGCUAAGAUCAUCGAGAUAGCCAGUGUGCAGCGCGCGCGUGCGCGGCGCAUGCGGCGAAGCCCAGUUCGCGCGCUAUGCUCGUAGAUGCGGCCUGAGUGAUCUCUUCGGACCCGGGUUCGACUCCCGGCGCCUCCACCA